rnacentral:lncRNA from 1 species
GCCGGUCCGCGGACCACCUUGCCCUGGUUGUUGUACUGGGAUCCAUGGCAGGGGCAGAUGAACUUGUUCUCGGCGCCGUUCCACGGCACGACGCAGCCGAGGUGGGUGCACACGGCGUUGAUCCCGUAGGUGGCCAGCGUCUUGUCCUGCUCCACCACCAGGUACGUGGGGUCACCCUGCACGCGCGGCGGCGGCGGCGCACGCAAACACGCCGGCCGUGAGCAUCAUCAACGCAACAGACACGCCUGCAGCGGCAGGUGACGACGACGAUGGCGGGUGAGUACGUGACUGAACCUUGAGCCCCUGCGCGAGCGUGCGGUCGUUGGGACCGUGCGUGUUGAGCCACUCCUCCACCGUGAUGUCGUUGCCCAGCUUGUCCUUGGCGUAGGUCCCGCCGCCGCCGUUCCCGGAGCUGCGUGCAAAAUCGGCCGGCCGGCCGGGGUGCUAUUCGUUAAUAGUUGCUGCGCGGCCGGUAACACGUACACGUGUAUACAGUGCGCCGCUAGCUAGCUGUUGAUGCAAAGCAACGCGGUCGAGACGACGACGACGACGACGACUCACCCGGCGGGGACGAAGAAGGCGCCGUAGGGGACGACCAUGCCGACGGUGGGCAGCGAUAUGGCGCCCAGGAGGAGGAGGUUCAUCAGCUUCCGCUUCUCCAUGUCGGGGACGCGGUCGGCGGGGAUGCUGCUCGCCGCCUGGCACGU